AAUUAUCAAGGGAGUAUUGUUGCAUUUCACAAGAUUAAACGGGUUCCUCUUCAGUGUUUGUAGCUGGAGAUCAGGAGAAUAACUUUAAACUACACCUUUCUACUUUCAAGAAUCUACCCCUGGCUGGUUGCUGUACAUUGGUUGCCUUUGUGGAACUCCCAUGUGGUUAACUUGUGGUUACACAUCAUGAGGCUAUGGGUUGCUGUACAUUGGUUGCCUUUAUGGAACUCCCAUGCUACUAUUGAUUCUAGCUCAUGUUUGAUUUUAGCUAUAGUUUUGGUUUAUUAUUUUUAUCUAUGACCCCAUACAAUAGAGAAGUACAGAAAUUGACAAGAGAAGCAUUUUAGGGACUGUUUUAAUACCUAUACUUGAAAUUCAAUUGCUAAAUCUGUUGGACAUGUUUAUCUUAUGAGAGACUUAAGAGUUCUGUUGGUACUAGGUGACUUCUCUCUGUUCAAGCGUUGACAGAGCUUCUUGUAGGUGCUCUUGGAAUUCAAGGAGUAUGCCACAGAGGUUAAUGUUGAUUCUGUGCGGAAAGCUGUUCGUGCGGUUUGGAGAUGUGCAAUUAAAUUGGAGAGAGCUGCUAAAAGGUGCAUCAGCGUUUUGCUCGAGCUGAUUAAGAUAAAAGUUAAUUAUGUUGUUCAGGAAGCUAUAAUUGUUAUCAAAGACAUCUUCAGACGCUACCCUAACACGUAUGAGUCUAUCAUUGCUACGCUUUGUGAAAGUCGCUUUGUGAAAGUCUGGACACUUUAGAUGAACCAGAGGCUAAGGCAUCCAUGAUUUGGAUAAUUGGAGAAUAUGCUGAAAGAAUUGACAAUGGCUAAGGAUUGUAUUAUGGUCACACAUUUUUGUUUUUUAGAUUGGAUAUUCCAGCAGUAGUUAAUGGAUAAGUUAAAGAUGUCAUCUGACGUCAGUUUCCUGUCUUUUGUCCAUAGAGUUCAGUUUACAAACACAGUAGUGAUUUUACCUACAAUUGAUGCAUUCAAAAACGUCUAUGAUUUGCUUGUUAGAUUGAAAGGGUUUCCACCCCUUGAAGGUACGCUGAACCAUACAUGGGUCAUAGUAACACACGGAUAUUGUUUAAUCA